rnacentral:lncRNA from 1 species
GAAGAAGUAUUCUCUCUUCAGUGUGCUCUGACUUCUUGAAGAUUUUUACAACUGGACUGUUUUCAGUUCAGAAAAGCUAGAAUGAGAUCUCUGAGUUAUAUCUGUUUAAGAUAGUAACAUAUCUUAUAUCACUCUUUUAAUUAAGUUGAGAAGAUUCCCUUGUAUGCAAUGGACAUCCAUGUGGAGGGUCAUUCCCUUCCACUAUGGCUGGCCUUCUUGACAUAGGCAGAUCUGAACUUGGGAAAGGAAUAUAUUAUAACAUUGGUUUGGGCUUUCAGAGUUGAUGUUCAUUGUUUAUCUCUUAAGCAACGUACUUUCAAAGUACUUCAUGCAAUCUCAUAGUUUUUGUUAUCCUAGAUUUGAGCCAAAGAAUAUGAAGCUGAUGCAGAACCAGAUUGUAAUCUGCUAUUCCUAAGGAAGCCAACAAGGAUGUAGAGUUCUUAACUCUAACACACUUGAAGAAUAAGGGUAUGAAGACUUGGUUGGAAAUCUGAAAUGGGGUUAUUGGAGAGGAUGCAACUGUCAGUGUCAGACUUCACCUUGGAAUCUGUCAGGCAAUCAAGUCUCUUGGAGAAAAAGACACUCCUGAGAGGGGUUACAAGAAGAGUUAGUGCUUAGGCAGGUGGCACCAUAUCACAUGAUUAACACAUUUAUUCACUUGUUCAAUAAAAAUUUAU